rnacentral:rRNA from 1 species
UACGGGGGGGGCAAGCGUUGUUCGGAAUUACUGGGCGUAAAGGGCUCGUAGGCGGCCAACUAAGUCAGACGUGAAAUCCCUCGGCUUAACCGGGGAACUGCAUCUGAUACUGGAUGGCUUGAGUUCGGGAGAGGGAUGCGGAGUUCCAGGUGUAGCGGUGAAAUGCGUAGAUAUCUGGAGGAACACCGGUGGCGAAGGCGGCAUCCUGGACCGGCACUGACGCUGAGGAGCGAAAGCCAGGGGAGCAAACGGG